rnacentral:rRNA from 1 species
GGGUAAACCUGAGAAACCCGAAAGGUCGAACGAGGAGAUUCAACCGCGUCUCGGCAUCGGCGAGCGCUCGGCUCGUGACGGACGGCGUUCGCGUCGCCCGCACAGUCGGUCGCCGCCGCGUGUCGAACGCGUGCACUUCUCCUCUUGUAGGACGUCGCGAUCCGUUGGGUGCCGGUCUAAGGCCCGCGGUGGAGCCCGUGCGAGCGUUUCGGCGUCUCGUGCGGACCCGCGGUGUCCCGGCCGGCUCGCCCGACGGUAUGCUUGUGGCGCUGGGCCGCGAUUCGUUCGCGUCCGGCCCGGUGCAAGUGCGGACUACGUUGUGGAAUUCGGACCUAGUGCCGGAUCCGCGCCAGUCCGCCUGUUGGCGCCGGUGCCCUCGGACGGUCCAGAUGAGCGCCGAUCGGCGACGCUAUAGCUUUGGGUACUUUCAGGACCCGUCUUGAAACACGGACCAAGGAGUCUAGCAUGUGCGCGAGUCAUUGGGACUAGCGAAACCUAAAGGCAAAAUGAAAGUGAAGGCACGCUUUAGCGGGCCGAGGGAGGAUGGGUCGCGUCACGACGCGGCCCCGCACUCCCGGGGCGUUUCGUUCUCAUGCGAGAUGAGGCGCACCCAGAGCGUACACGCUGGGACCCGAAAGAUG